rnacentral:rRNA from 1 species
CGUAGGCGGCUCGCGAAGUCGGGGGUGAAAGUCCGGGGCUCAACCCCGGAUCGGCCUUCGAGACUUGUGGGCUGGAGCACAGUAGAGGCGGGUGGAAUUCCGGGUGUAGCGGUGGAAUGCGUAGAGAUCCGGAAGAACACCGGUGGCGAAGGCGGCCCGCUGGGCUGUGGCUGACGCUGAGGCGCGACAGCGUGGGGAGCAAACA